rnacentral:other from 2 species
AAGAGCCUGAGAUGUUCGUGAUUCCUUGAAAUUCAACCACCAGCAAACAUCCGGGAGUUCGGGUUUCUAUGUGUAUGACAGGCCACAAACAAUUAAAAUAAUAAGUGGAAGUCAAAAGCAUAGAAUAGGACACCCACCUAGGUGAUACCGGGUGUGAAUUUACAAGGAUACGGCAUCUUGGGUUAAUU